rnacentral:snRNA from 1 species
GUGCUUGCUUUGGCAGCACAUAUACUAAAACUGGAAGGAUACAGAGAAGAUGAGAAGAUUAGCAUGACCUCUGCACAAGGAUAAUAUGCAAAUUCGUGAAGCUUUCUAUAUUAAU